rnacentral:rRNA from 1 species
UACGAAGGGUGCAAGCGUUACUCGGAAUUACUGGGCGUAAAGCGUGCGUAGGUGGUUCGUUAAGUCUGUCGUGAAAGCCCCGGGCUCAACCUGGGAAUGGCGAUGGAUACUGGCGGGCUAGAGUGCGGUAGAGGAGAGUGGAAUUCUUGGUGUAGAGGUGAAAUUCGUAGAGAUCAGGAAGAACACCAGUGGCGAAAGCGGCGACCUGGCCCGACAUUGACGCUCAUGCACGAGAGCGUGGGGAGCAAACAGG